CCUACGGGUGGCAGCAGUGGGGGAUAUUGGACAAUGGGGGAAACCCUGAUCCAGCGAUGCCGCGUGAGGGAAGAAGGUUUUCGGAUUGUAAACCUCUGUGGAGGGGGACGAUAAUGACGGUACCCCCUUAGGAAGCCACGGCUAACUACGUGCCAGCAGCCGCGGUAAUACGUAGGUGGCGAGCGUUGUCCGGAAUUACUGGGUGUAAAGGGAGUGUAGGCGGGUAAGUAAGUUAGCGGUGAAAUGUAUGGGCUCAACCCAUAGCCUGCCAUUGAAACUAUUUUUCUUGAGUGAAGUAGAGGCUAGCGGAAUACCUAGUGUAGAGGUGAAAUGCGUAGAUAUUAGGAAGAACACCAGUGGCGAAGGCGGCUAGCUGGGCUUUUACUGACGCUGAGGCUCGAAAGCAUGGGGAGCAAACAGGAUUAGAUACCCCAGUAGUC
rnacentral:rRNA from 1 species